rnacentral:rRNA from 1 species
GACGAACGCUGGCGGCGUGCUUAACACAUGCAAGUCGAACGAAGUGGCGAACGGGUGAGUAACGCGUAAUCCACCUGCCCUUCAGAGGGGGACAACAGUUGGAAACGACUGCUAAUACCGCAUACUGAAGGAGGGGAUUGCGUCUGAUUAGCUAGUUGGAGGGGUAACGGCCCACCAAGGCGAUGAUCAGUAGCCGGUCUGGGAGGAUGGACGGCAAAAUUGGGACUGGGACAAGGCCCAGACUCCUACUGGAGGCAGCAGUGGGGAAACUUCCGGAAUGGACGAAAGUCUGACGGAGCAACGCCGCGGGAGUGAUGACGGCCUUCGGGUUGUAAAGCUCUGUUAAUCGGGACGCGGUACCGGAAUAGAAAGCCACGGCUAACUACGUGCCAGCCGCCGCGGUAAUUC